ACCCUUGGGGAAGAAGAGAACGAUGAGGAGGACCUGUUUGAGAGCAGCCGUGCCAGGUUUUGUGGUACGAGUCAGUAUGGAGCUACAGACACCUGGUCUGCCUGAAGGGCAAGGAGAAGGGUGUCUUCCUGUGCAUAAUGAUGACUGACUUCCAGGAGUGCAGGGCAGCGGAGGAGGAUGCUGAUGGGGAGCAGGAGGAUGGCUUGGCAGCAGGGUGUUGGAAAGUAAAGCCAAAGCAGAUCAGCCUGGUCGGCCUGCAGCCAGCACACGUGUGAUAGCAGAACCUUGUGUAGUGUACAGAGCAGAUAACACAUCAGCUUCAACGCCCAUCCACAAACCCUGUCACCAUGGUGCCCACAGAUGGCAACUUCCUGUGGUCCUGCCCAGUGAUUGGUGGAGAGACUUCCAAACAGAGAACAGCUGUGAACAAAAAGGAGAACUUUACAGUUUCAACACCAGAGGGAGCCAUUCAACGACUCUGUGGGCCACAGGACUUCACCGUGGUAUGUCUGACCAUAUUUCAAUAGAUAUUUCAACACAUUAAUGAAUGACGAGAAGAGAAUCACAAAAAACAACAACCUUUAAUACCUGGUGUCACAGUGUUAGUGGAACUGCAGAUAUAUCAAGAUGCUGAGUUGUACAGAACUGAUCCAAAUAUGCCAUUACAGUGUCAAUUUCUUUAUCACCCAGAUUAAUGAACUUUUAUUUACUGAUUAAACUAAAGACAUCGGGUACCAUGUGUAAACACAGGAGUACUGUGUACAGACAGCACUUCCUCUGACAGUAAUCUGCUUACGUAGGCGACUGAUUACAAUUUAAUUGCCCAAUCAGGCCUGAAGAAUGAUGCACUGAAGAUCAUUUUGCUGAACAUCAAACCAUAUUUUCUGAAAGAAAGGGAACAAAAAGGAAAAUUAAAAAGCAGAGUGCUGGGCACCAGGUUUGACAACGCUACCACUGCAAAGAUCUUUGAGGCUACAGUAUAUUAAUUUGUAACAUGUAGAGGUCAGAGAAAAAAAUCAUGCAGCUUCAUCUCUUCACACAACAGGUUAGAAAAUAUAAAUUGCUGCUCAUAACCAAAAUUGAUCUUGGAAUAGUUGCAAAGUAGAACGAGAGCCUUUGUAAAGUAAACUUGGCUUUGCUUCCCAAUUAAGGGCUAAAUCUUGGAAAUGAGCCCUUAACUUGGUCAAACCGCCCUACUCCAACAACACCUGUGCUGGUGUUAAUUGGUUUUAUAUGGAGCCCUGACAAGCCUCUUCUGGCCCUACAAAACAAGUAAUCAUGCCACGUGUCACUGCAGUGAUUGUAAUGUUUGCUGUCUGGCCCUUUUACAAUUGUUGCAUAUAAUACAGUUAUCUACCUGUUCAGUGGAGCCAGCAAACACAGGUAAAGUUAGUUAGUUUGUGCUUGAUAGACUUUGAUGAUGGUGAUUUUUUUUAAAUGUUUAAAAUUAUUUAUUGUUGUGGUGAUAUCAGAACCCAGUUAGAUUAAACUCUGAAAACUCUUUAAAAAGUAUAGAUGCGAUCUUUCAUAUACAGCGACUUGUGUACUGAGUGGCCGAACACCUCCAUUAAACAACUGGCACCAUACUACACCCAUUACAGAUCAUAUCGAGAAGUAAAACAAUGAAACCCAUAUACAGUGCAGUGCUUACAUAAAGAAGCGUGAGACCCUGUAAAAACUGUUAAUAUAUUACAAAUACAUGGCCAAAAUGCACAUACAGUAGACCGCUUGAUUUCCUUCUCCCUUACAGGAAAUCUGCUUGGCACGAUUGUCAUUAAAAACAACAGAAGCUUCAGGAAAUAAACCAAACUUCCAAGCCAGAAAAUUGGACAGUCUUUGAUACAAAACUACCAUGAUCAUACAGUAGGUGAGGUCAGCGAAAGCAACGCAGGAUAUUGUAAGGUACUCAGAAUUUAAGGCUACUAAUGCAGAUGGUUAGCUACUGUUGUUAACUGUUGACCACCCUUUUGGUAACUGUAGCAGCACUUCUUAUGAAAUGCUACAUGAACACUGAUGAGUUAUGACGCAAGGAGGGAUAAAGUAAAUGGCUUAUUCAAAACAUAGCAACGCGUGGUAGUAAAACUGUUUAAUCAGAAAUUAUGACCAAGUGAAUCAUCUCAAUGGUUUAAACUUUUGUUCCCCAUUACUGACUUAACACUGUGAAGUUGUUCAGCUGUAAAAAUAAAUUCUAAUUGCCCAUAAAAACAAAGACCUUAACAAAAUGGCCAAAAUCUCUCCUGGUUUUUCAAUCUAGCAACAUUAUAAUACAGCUAAAAGACAGCGGCACACAUGAUAAAAGUAAAAUGGAUGGUUUCUGAAUAAUUCCCUGAUUAAAUAAAAGCCAUGAUAUGCACAUGUAUUGUGACAUUCUGCAGCUUUAUCCCACCCGUGACAUACAGUUGAUUAAGACCAAUUGAUAGUCUUUUAAUGUGAUGUACAAACUUGCAUAGAUAAGGUGGUAUAGUACAGAGCAGCUUCAUAAUUAUGUGCCCCAAAACGGAACAUUCUUUUAUGUUUUCUCUAUAGGCUUUUAUGAUGUCCCUGCGAGGAAUAGCUGCUUGUUGUUAGAGAUCUAACUACCAACAAAACGCUGACGCUCAGACCACUAACAUAUGCAAGUUUGCAAUUUUGCCCAGCGGGUAUUUGUUUAGUCUCACAGAGUGGGAGAC